rnacentral:rRNA from 1 species
GUGGGGAAUCUUCCGCAAUGGACGAAAGUCUGACGGAGCAACGCCGCGUGAGUGAUGAAGGUCUUCGGAUUGUAAAGCUCUGUUAAUCGGGACGAAAGAGCCUAGUGUGAAUAAUGCUAGGAAGUGACGGUACCGGAAUAGAAAGCCACGGCUAACUACGUGCCAGCAGCCGCGGUAAUACGUAGGUGGCAAGUGUUGUCCGGAAUUAUUGGGCGUAAAGCGCGCGCAGGCGGAUCUGCCAGUCUGUCUUAAAAGUUCGGGGCUUAACCCCGUGAUGGGAUGGAAACUACAGAUCUAGAGUAUCGGAGAGGAAAGUGGAAUUCCUAGUGUAGCGGUGAAAUGCGUAGAUAUUAGGAAGAACACCAGUGGCGAAGGCGACUUUCUGGACGAAAACUGACGCUGAGGCGCGAAAGCCAGGGGAGCGAACGGGAUUAGAAACCCUUGUAGUCC